AUCCGUAUAUAUAUGUUAUAAAAAAUUUAAUAUUUCCAAUCUUCAUUUGUGUCAUCACCAACAACCAUUGUUAACCUAUCUUCUCUGUGUUAUUGUGAUGUCCGCCUCCGCCUCCUUCUUAUCAACGGCGAUAUACAAGUCAAAAUCCAAUGGUUUCUUAUAUUCUGUUGACGACUCCUACUCCUUCUCUGUGUUCAAUGAUUUUAUCAUCGUUGAUAUACAACUGAAGAUCCGAUUUAAUACAGAGGCAAACAAUUAACGUUGAAGACGUAUUCAAGGCGCUUCAAGAUAUAGAGUUUCCAGAACUCAUUGCACCACUAAGAGCCUGGCGAUUUGGUUCCAGCUGUCAAAGAGUUGCAUAUGCUAACUUUUGAGGAGCUUAGCAAGUUAAGCAGGGAGUGUGAUCUUUUAAUCUAUUUUUGUUGUAAAAUUUAUAGGGCAAAUGAUAUAUUAAUGUAUAGUUUGAUGCUGGUGUGAUCUUUUUAACCCAGUUUUAUUGUGAUUUUUUAGGGCAAAUGACAUAUGCAAGGAAUCGAAGAGGCAAACAGUUAACGCUGAAGACGUAUUCAAGGCGCUUGAAGAGAUCGAGUUUCCAUAAUUCAUUGCACCACUAAGAGCCUAUCGAUUUGGACCACUAAGAAGUCGUGCUGCCAAGGCGAUCGGUUUUAUUGAUAUGAUGAUUGAUUAUUCGUUAGAGAAUGCACCACUACAAAAAGAAUUAUCAGCAGAGCUUGGUGGAAACAAAAAACAAAAGAAAUUCAAUGGUUGGGAUCCAUUUUCAUUUCUAAUGGAGUGAGCUCAUAUGGUAUAUUAAGGACGAGAAUUAUAAAGAUCCAUUUUCAUUUCUAAUGGCGUGAGCUCAUAUUGUAUUCAAGGCGCUUGAAGAGAUCGGGUUUCCAGAAUUCAUUGCACCACUAAGAGCCUAUCGAUUUGGUUCUAGCUGUCAAAGAGUUGCAUAUGCUAACUUCUGAGGAGCUUAGCAAGUUAAUCAGGGAUCCUUCUAUUACAUCUAAAGUCCAAACACUAUGAAUACGAUUUAAUCUCAUGUGAUACACAGUUUUGUUUAUUUUGUCAUAUUCAUGUAUUGGUAAAAUAGGUUCGACUGAAAUCUUUUUCAUUUUGAUUUUCAGUUUCAGUUUACAGCACCAAUCUAAUUAAAAGGGGAGUUCAAAAUUCAUGCAUUCUACAGAUCCCGUCCAGGUACUCAAAAUAGGAAAAUUUACCUGGCAGUUAAUGACGGUUUAGUUAAUGACACGUCAUGCGGAAAAGACCCAAGCCUCCUUUUUGUUCAUUUUUUUGAUGAUUGUGAUGAGUUGACUACAAUGUGAAGUGUGCAUGCUAUCUCAAUUCAGUGUCAAUGACAGAUCCGAAGCCGAGUUUCUACAUAAUGGGGAACACACAUUUAAAAGUUAGAGAUUAGUAAAAGUUUUGUGAAUCUAAAACAUCAUAUAUGUGCAGACAAAGUGUUGAAGGUUCAAAGUUAUAAAAGAUGAAGAUUUAGGCUCAUUUGAAUCGAGAAGAAAAACUUUGUGGUUGGAGUCUGUGGUAUUAGAUGACUUCAUAUCAAAGCAUUGGUUGGCCUUUCUUCGGGCUAAUAGUGUGUUGAUCCCGUAGGCAAGGAAAGGUAGAAAAAAUGUUGUGUGGAUGUAGUUGGAUGCGUUAACAGCGAUGAGUUUGCAUCAUGGGAGGAUCUUUCUCAACGGGAUUUCAAAACUCCGCCAGGUAGCAAAUCACACCUUGAGAGGAGGAGGCUCAUUGAAGUCGAGGCUGAAAUGACAAGAAAUUCAGUAUAUCUAUGUCCAUAGGGAUAUAUAUGACCAAACAGAUUUGUGUAUAGCGAUUAUCGUGGUUAGUCAACAACUUAUUUUCUAUCUGGAGUUUGUUUGGGUCCAUGGGCCUGUUUGAAAUGAUAGGAACAAGUGAUAGCAUUCUUUUUGGGAAAUGCUAAAUACAAUAGUGCUGAUGGUUUCAUGAUAAAUAAUUUUUCGCUAAUCUGUCAUGAAAGCUCUGACUUGCAAUGUGUACAUGUAUUCAUGACAAUACAAAUUAUAUCAUUGUUGUCA